rnacentral:antisense_RNA from 1 species
AGAGAGCCUCGGCUAGCUGGGAUUCUAUCCCUGACCGUCUUCACAGUUCAGGUGAUCUUGACUACUGCUUUACAGAGAAUUGGAUCUGAGAUGUGGAAACAGGAAGAGAACUAGAACUGGAAGUAAGGCAUUGAAGAUGUGACUGAAUUGCUGCAAUCUCAUGAUCAAAUUUGAAUGGAUGAGGAGUUGCUUUUUAGGGAUGAGCAAAGAAAGUGGCUUCUCGAGAUGGAAUCUACUGGUUGCUCCUUGAGGGCAGGACAGUUCUUAUGGCUUUAUCCGUUGCCUAAGCACAGAGAGGUCUGCGAGGUCAAAACUAUUGUCAUGAUAGCAAGAUGCCUGUCUUUUUCAUUUAUUCUCACAGUGUGCAGAGGCUACAUGAUGUGUGAUGACAUCCUCAUUGAUGUUAAUGAAUGGUGCUAUACUUGAAUUUUCUAAGGUGUCAUUAGAUGAGGUCUUGCUGUGUUGCCCAGGCUAUUCACAGCUGCCAUCAUAGUGAACUACAGCCUGAAACUCCUGGGUUCAAGAGAUCCUUCUGCCUCAGCCU